AAGAGAGGUCAUUAGAAUUGACACAAGAAUUGCAUGAGGGAGGAGAUGGCCAAGACUACAGGAUCAUGCCAGAAUCAGAACAGAAGCUGUGUCCUGUAUCAGAAUCUGAAAAAGCCCAAGUUGCAUGAAUGAAGGUUGGCCUGAUACAUCCACAUUCUUUCUCUCAGACCCUGCUGUGGCCAAGAGCUUGUAUUUUGUCAUCCAGACAACUGGAAAGAUGGGUUUCUUCUAUGUGACAUUCAUAAGCCUAUAAGGGAACCUGAAUCAUGACUUUGCUCUCUUAGCCUCAAAGAAGCUAGUAGCAGACAGCAUGUGUAUCUGGUGCAGGUCUAGAACCUGUCUGGCAGGCUGUGGACGGAACAGCACUCCAGAUCUGCAGGUGAUUCAUAGGCUCGGAGAAGUUGGAGAAGCUCCGGUCUAGGUACGCCUGCCGAGAUUCUCAGGAGUGCAGAAAGUGGGAAACCGUCAGCAGUACCAGCCAUCACCAGCACUGACACCCAGGAUGCCAUUAGGAAGAGGUCCAAGACUAGCAGGGCAGCCGCUGUGAGCCUGGAAACUGCUUGGGUGCCUUGAGAUGGGCUGUUACAUCCACGGUGGCUCAGGGCUUCCUCUAUGAAGCAUCGACUCUCCUGGGCUUUCAGCUGGACAUUCAGGAUUCAAAGAUGAGUGCAGAGUCACAGAGACAAACGAGACCCAGUGCUGCGGGGACACAGAGGCCGGGGCCAAGAAUUCCUCCAGGUGGCUCAUGCCUGUAAUCCCAACACUUUGGAAGGCCAAGCGG
rnacentral:lncRNA from 1 species